rnacentral:rRNA from 1 species
UACGGAGGGGGCUAGCGUUGUUCGGAAUUACUGGGCGUAAAGCGCGCGUAGGCGGAUCUGCAAGUCGGGGGGUGAAAUCCCGAGGCUCAACCUCGGAACUGCCUUCGAUACUGCGGGUCUCGAGUCCGGGAGAGGUGAGUGGAAUUCCUAGUGUAGAGGUGAAAUUCGUAGAUAUUAGGAAGAAACACCAGUGGCGAAGGCGGCUCACUGGCCCGGUACUGACGCUG